GUACGGCGAGUGNNNAGGAAGAGCUCAAAGUUGGAACCUGUUUGGCCUAGCUAAANNNNNNNNNNNNGUAGAAGUGUUUUCCAGGCAAGCCGAGUAANNNNNUNNUUUGGAACAGGGCAUCAUAGAGGGUGAGAAUCCCGUCUUUGGCUUGAGCAUUUGCCUUUUGUGAUACGCUUUCAAAGAGUCAGGUUGUUUGGGAAUGCAGCCUAAAUUGGGUGGUAAAUCUCACCUAAAGCUAAAUAUUGGCGAGAAACCGAUAGCGAACAAGUACCGUGAGGGAAAGAUGAAAAGAACUUUGAAAAGAGAGUUAAACAGUAUGUGAAAUUGUUAAAAGGGAACCGUUUGGAGCCAGACUGGCUUGUCUGUAAUCAAUCUAGGCUUCGGCCUGGAUGCACUUGCAGGCUAUGCCUGCCAACGACAAUUUGACUUGAGGGAAAAAACUAGGGGAAAUGUGGCCCACUUGUGGGUGUUAUAGUCCCUUAGAAAAUACCUUGGGUUGGAUUGAGGAACGCAGCGAAUGCUUAUUGGCGAGUUUUCCAGGAAGGUUUUCUGAGGUACUACGGUAUCAAGGUUGAUCUUUUUGGUUAUACUUCUAUUCGCUUAGGUUGUUGGCUUAAUG
rnacentral:rRNA from 1 species